rnacentral:rRNA from 1 species
CCUACGGGUGGCAGCAGUAGGGAAUCUUUCACAAUGGGCGAAAGCCUGAUGGAGCAACGCCGCGUGCAGGAAGAAGGCUUUCGGGUUGUAAACUUCUUUUAAGGGGGAAGAGCAGAAGACGGUACCCCUUGAAUAAGCCACGGCUAACUACGUGCCAGCAGCCGCGGUAAUACGUAGGUGGCAAGCGUUGUCCGGAUUUAAUGGGUGUAAAGGGCGUGCAGCCGGAGAGACAAGUCAGAUGUGAAAUCCACGGGCUCAACCCGUGAACUGCAUUUGAAACUGUUUCCCUUGAGUGUCGGAGAGGUAAGCGGAAUUCCUUGUGUAGCGGUGAAAUGCGUAGAUAUAAGGAAGAACACCAGUGGCGAAGGCGGAUUACUGGACGAUAACUGACGGUGAGGCGCGAAAGCGUGGGGAGCAAACAGGAUUAGAUACCCUGGUAGUC